rnacentral:rRNA from 1 species
GACGAACGCUGGCGGCGUGCUUAACACAUGCAAGUCGAACGGAAAGGCCCUGCUCUUGUGGGGUGCUCGAGUGGCGAACGGGUGAGUAACACGUGAGUAACCUGCCCUUGACUUUGGGAUAACUUCAGGAAACUGGGGCUAAUACCGGAUAGGAGCUCCUGCUGCAUGGUGGGGGUUGGAAAGUUUCGGCGGUUGGGGAUGGACUCGCGGCUUAUCAGCUUGUUGGUGAGGUAGUGGCUUACCAAGGCUUUGACGGGUAGCCGGCCUGAGAGGGUGACCGGCCACAUUGGGACUGAGAUACGGCCCAGACUCCUACGGGAGGCAGCAGUGGGGAAUAUUGCACAAUGGGCGGAAGCCUGAUGCAGCAACGCCGCGUGCGGGAUGACGGCCUUCGGGUUGUAAACCGCUUUCGCCUGUGACGAAGCGUGAGUGACGGUAAUGGGUAAAGAAGCACCGGCUAACUACGUG